rnacentral:lncRNA from 10 species
CGAGUUGCAACUUAACUCAAGCCGAGCCAGGCAGCCUGUUAGCAAUUAUAAUGCAAUACUACAAGAUUCAUAUCCUGUUAAGGGACUUUAAAAAUCAGAUCAUCACUCAGAAAGCCUAGCAGUCAAGUCAGAGUUGUCAGAGCAAAAUGGAACAAUCAAAACCCCAGAGCGAAGCUUUGUAAUUUUGUAGCAGGACAAGCCGCAGACAAAUCCCCUCAGACACGGAGUUAAAGAAGGAAGGGCUUCAUUUGGCCGGGAGCUUCCGCAAAACUCACGUCUCCAAAAACCGAGCUCCGCAAGUGAGCAAUUCCUGUCCCUUUUAAGGGCUUAGAACUCUAAGGGGGUCCACGCGAGAGGGUUGUGAUUGAUUGAGCAAGCAGUGGGUAUGUGACUGGGGGCUGCAUGCACCGGUAAUCAGAACGGAAUGGAACAGAACAGGACAGGGAUUUUCACAGUGCUUUUCCAUACAAUGUCUGGAGUCUAUAGAUAACAUAACCGAUUAGGUCAGGGGUCGAUCUUUAACCAGGCCCAGGGCUCGGCGCCGGGCUGUCUGCCUGUGGAUUCCAUUUCUGCCUUUUAGUUUUUACUUCUUCUUUCUUUGGAGGCAGAAAUUGGGCAUAAGACAAUAUGAGGGGUGGUUUCCUCCCUUAAUUUAGUUCACUGAACAAACUGGAAAAAGUGAGCCCGUUUCAACAGAUACGAUGAAUUUGUUAAGUUUGUAUUACUCUCACCUUUAACAAUAAAAAUCUUCAGCUUUUUACUAAAAAUGUAUGGAGAGAAUAUUCUAGAUUCUAUCACACGUUAGGACUGACAGAUGAGAGAUCUACAGCACCACACGGUUAUUAAAAUGAUGAAUGUGAGUAGAAAGCCACCAUUACCCUAAACACAGCACAAUGGUGGCAGUUUUCCUCUUGCUUAGGCAUUUGGUAGAUGGAGAAAAUGAAAAGCUGGGUCAAAGUGUACAUUUUUUUUUCUGUCAACAUACAUGCUUUUUAUUGUGGCAAAGAAUAUUAUACAUGGCAUAAAAUUUACCACUUUAACCACUUUUGAGUGUACAAUUCAAUGCAUUAAAUAUUCAUAUAUUUUUUUGAAACUUUUAUUUUAGGUUCAGGGGUACAUGUGCAGGUUUUUUAUAUAGGUAAACUCAUGUAAUGGGAAUUGUUGUAGAGAUUAUUUGGACACCCUGGUACUAAGCCUAAUACCCAAAUUUUUAAAAAUUCUCUCCCUCCUCCCACUCUCCACCCUCAAGUAGGCUCCAGUGUCUGUUGUUCCCCUCUUUGUGUCCAUGUGAUCUCAUCAUCCCACUUAUAAGUGAGAACGUGCGGUAUUUGGUCUUCUGUUCCUGUGGUAUAGUUUGCUACAGAUAAUGGCCUCCAAAAGACAUGAUCUCAUUCUUUUUUAUGGCUGCAUAGCAUUUGACGGUGUUGACAUGGUUUUAAUUUGGGUUCCCACCCAAAUCUCAUGUUCAACUGUAAUCCCCCAUGUUGGAGAUACGGCCUGGUGGGAGAUGACUGGAUCAUGGGGGUGGAUCCUUCAUCAACGGUUUGGCACCAUCCCCUUGGUGCUGUUCUUCUAAUGGUGAGUGAGUUCUCGUGAGAUCUGGUUGUUUAAAAGUGUGUUGCACUAUCUCUCUCUUUCUCUUGCUCCUACUCUGGCCAUGUGAUGUGCUCACUCCCCCGUACCUUCCACCAUGAUUAUAAGUUUCCUGAGGCCUCCCCAGAAACUGAGCAGAUGCCAGUAUCGUGUUUCCUGCACAACCUUCAGAACCAUGAGCCAAUUCAAACUCUUUUCUUUACAAAUUACUCAGUCUCAGAUAUUUCUUUAUAGCUAUGCAAGAAUGGACUAAUACAAUCUGUGAUAUUGAGAUUUUUUUCAUAUGCUUGUUGGCUGAAUGUAUUUUUUCUUUUGAAAAGUGGCUGUUCAUGUCCUUUGCUCACUUUUUAAUGGUUUUUUUUUUUCUUGUAAAUCUGUUUAAGUACCUUAUAGAUGCUGGAUAUUAGACCUUUGUCAGUUGCAUCAUUUGCAAAUAUUUUCUCCCAUUCUGUAGGUUGUCUGUUUACUCUCUUGAUAGUUUCUUUCACCGUGCAGAAGCUCUUAAGUUUAAUUAGAUCCCAUUUGCCAACUUUUGCUUUUGUUGUGAUUGCUUUUGGUGUCUUGAUCAUGAAAUCUUUACCUGCUCCUAUGUCCAGGAAGGUAUUGCCUAGGUUGUCUUCCAGGGCUUUUAUAGCUUUGGGUUUUACAUUUAAGCCUUUAAUUCAUCUUGAGUUGAUCUCUGUAUAUAAUGUAAGGGAUCCAGUUUUAAUUUUCUGCAUUUGGCUAGCCUGUUAUCCAAUCACCAUUUAUUAAAUAGGGAGUCCUUUCCCCAUCACUUGUUUUUGUCAGUUUUGUCAAAGGUCAGAUGGUUGUAGGUCUGUGGCCUUAUUUCUGGGCUUUCUAUUCUGUUCCAUUGGUCUGUAUGUCUGUUAUUGUGCCCGUGCCAUGCUGUCUUGGUUAUGUUAGCCCUGUAGUAUAGUCUGAAGUUGGCUAGUGUGAUGCCUCCAGCUUUGUUCUUUUUAUUUAGGAUUGCCUUGACUAUCCACGCUCUUUUUUGGUUCCAUAUGAUUUUAAAGUAGUUUUUUCCUAGUUCUGUGAAGUAUGUCAUUGGUAGUUUCAUAGCAAUAGCAUUGAAUCUGUAAAUAGCUUUUGGCAGUAUGGCUAUUUUAAUGAUAUUGAUUAUUUCUAUCCAUGAGCAUGGGAUGUUUUCCAUUUGUUUGUGUCAUCUCUGAUUUCUCUGAGCAGUGUUUUGUAAGUCUCAUUGUAGAGAUCUUUCACCUCCCUAGUUAGCUGUAUUUCUAGGUAUUUUAUUCUUUUUGUGGCAAUUGUGAAUGGAUUGCAUUUCUGAUUUGGCUCUCAACUUGGCUGUUGUUGGUAUAUAGGAAUGCUAGUGAUUUUUGUACAUUGAUUUUUGUACCCUGAAACUCUGCUGAAGUUGUUUAUCAGUUGAAGGAGAUUUGGGGCUGAAAUUGUGGGGUUUCCUAGAUAUAGAAUCAUGUGAUCUGCAAAUAGGAAUUGUUUAAUAGGAGUGGUAAGAGAGGGCAUCCUUGUCUUGUGCUGGUUUUUAAGGGAAAUGCUUCCAGCUUUUCCCCAUUCAGUAUGAUGUUGGCUGUGGGUUUGUCAUAGAUAGGCUUUUAUUAUUUUGAGGUGUGUUCCUUCAAUCCCUAGUUUAUUGAGAAUUUUUAACAUGAAGGAUGUUGAUUUUUAUCAAAAGCCUUUUCUGCAUCUAUUGAGAUUAUCAUGUGGUUUUUGUCAUUAGUUCUGUUUAUGUGCUCAAUCACAUAUCUUGAUUUGCACAUGUUGAACCAACCUUGCAUCCCAGGAUGAGGCCUUGUUUGAUCACAGUGGAUUAGCUUUUUAUGUGCUGCUGGAUUCAGUUUGCAAGUAUUUUGUUGAGGAUUUUUGCAUCAAUCUUCAUCAAGCGUACUGGACUGAAGUAUUCCUUUUUUGUUGUGUCUCUGCCAGGUUUUGGUAUCAGGAUGAUGCUGGUCUCAUAGAAUGAGUUGAAGAGGAGUCCUCAAUUUUUUGGAAUAGUUUCAGUAGGAAUGGUACCAGCUUUUCUUUGUACAUCUGGUAGAAUUUGGCUGUGAAUCCAUCUGGUCCUGGGCUUUCUUGUUUGGUAGGCUAUUUAUUACUGAUUCAAUUUCAGAGCUCAUUAUUGGUCUGUUCAGGGAAUCAAUUUCUUCCUGUUUCAGUCUUGGGAUGGUGUAUGCGUCCAGGAAUUUAUCCAUCUCUUCUAGAUUUUCUAGUUUGUGUGCACAGAGGUGUUCAUCAUAGUUUCUGAUGGUUAUUUUUAAUUAUUUGGGGUCAGUGGUAAUAUCCCCUUUGUCGUUUCUAAUGGUGUUUAUUUGGAUCACCUCUCUUUUCUUCUUCAUUAGUCUAAUUAGUGGCCUAUCUUAUUAAUUUUUUCAAAAAACCAACUCCUGUAUUUAUUCUCUUUUGAGUGGUUUUUCAUGUCUCAAUUUCCUUUAGUUCAGCUCUGAUUUUGGUUAUUUCUUGCCUUCUGUUGGCUUUGAGGUGGUUUGCUUUUGCUUCUCUAAUUCUUUCAGUUGUGAUGUUAGGUUGUUAAUUUGAGAUCUUUCUAACUUUUUAAUGUGGGUGUUUAGUGCUAUAAAUUUCCCACUUAACACUGACUUAGCUUUAUCCCAGAGAUUCUGGUAUGUUGUAUUUUUGUUCUCAUUAGUUUCAAAGAACUUCUUGAUUUCUGCCUUUAUUUUAUUAUUUUUGCAAAAGUCAUUCAGGACUAGGUUGUUUAAUUUCCAUGUAAUUUCAUGGUUUUGAGAGAUUUUUUUUUUAGUAUUGACUUCUAUUUUUAUUGCACUGUGGUCUAAGAGUGUGUUUAGUAUGAUUUCAGUCUUUUCGCAUUUGCUGAGGAUUGUUUUAUGUCUGAUUGUGUGGUUGAUUUUAGAGUAUGUGUGCUAUGUGGUGAUGAGAAGAAUGUAUAUUCUGUUGUUUUUGAGUGGAGAGUUCUGUAGAGGGCUAUCACAUCCAUUAGGUACAAUGUUGAGUUCAGGUCCUGAAUAUCUUUGUUAAUUUUCUGCCUCAGUGAUCUGUCUAAUAUUGUCAAUGGAGUGUUGAAGUUUCCCACUAUUAUUGUGUGAGAGGCUAAGUCUCUUUGAAGUGAGAGGCUAAGUCUAAGUCUAAGUCUACACUGUGAGAGGCUAAGUCUCUAAGAACUUGCUUUAUAAAUCUGAGUGCUCCUGUGUUGGGUAAAUAUGUAUUUAGGAUACUUAGAUCUUCUUGUUAAAUUGAACCUUUUACCAUUAUGUAAUGCCCUUCUUUGUCUUUUUUGAUCCUUGUUGGUUUAAAGUCUGUUUUGUCUGAAAUUAGAGUUGCAACCCCUGCUUUUUUUCUGAUUUCCAUUUGCUUGGUAUAUUUUCCUCAAUCCCUUUAUUUUGAGCCUAUGGAUGUCACUGCAUGUGAGAUGGGUCUCUAGAAGAUAGCAUAUCAUUGAGCCUUACUUUUUUAUCCAGACUGUCUCUCUGUGCCUUUUAAAUGGGGGCAUUUUGCUCAUUUACAUUCAGUGUUAGUAUUGAUAUGUGUGGAUUUGAUCCUGUCAUUGUGUUGUUAACUGGUUGUUAUGCUGGCUUGUUUGUGUGGUUGCUUUAUAGUGUCACUGGUCUGUGUACUUAAGUGUGUUUUUGCAUUGGCUGGUAAUGGGCUUUCCUUUCCAUAUUUAGUACUCCUUUCAAGAUUUCUUGUAAGGCAGGUCUGGUGGUAAUGAAGUUGCUCAGCAUUUGUUUAUCUGAAAAGGAUCUUAUUUCUUCUUUUGUGAGGAAGCUUAGUUUGAUUGGAUAUAAAGUUCUUGGUUGAAGAUUUCUUUUCUUUAAGAAUGUUGAGGCUGGGCGCUGUGGCUCACGCCUGUAAUCCCAGCACUUUGGGAGGCCGAGGCAGGCGGAUCAUGAGGUCAGGAGUUCGAGACCAGCUUGACCAACGUGGUGAAACCCCGUCUCUACUAAAAAUACAAAAAAAAAUUAGUCGGGCGUGGUGGCACGCGCCUGUAAUCCCAGCUACUCAGGAGGUUGAGGCAGAAGAAUCGCUUCAACCCCGGAGGUGGAGGUUGCAGUGAGCCGAGAUCGUGCCACUGCACUCUAGCCUGGGUGACAAAGCAAGACUCUGUCUCAAAAAAAAAAAAAAAAAAGGAAUGUUGAAUAUAGGUCCACCAAUCUCUUCUGGCUUAUAGGGUGUCUGCUGAGAGGUCCACUGUUAGCCUGAUGGGGUUCCCUUUGUAGGUGACCUGCCCUUUCUCUCUAGCUGCCUUUAACAUUCUUUCUUUCAUCUUAACCUUGGAAAAUCUGAUGAUUUUGUGUCUUGGGGAUGAUCUUCUUGUGUAGAAUCUUACAAUGGUUCUCUGUAUUUCCUGAAUUUGGCUGUUGGGCUCUCUGGCAAGGUUGAGGAAGUUUUCAUGGACGAUAUUCUGAAAUAUGAUUUCUAAGUUGUUUGCUUUCUCCCCGUUCCUUUCAGGGAUUCCAGUGAUUUGUAGAUUUGGCUUCUUUUCAUAAUCCUAUAUUCCUUAGAGGUUUUGUUCAUUCCUUUUAAUUAUUUUUUUCUUUAUUUUUGUCUGACUGUCUUAUUUCAGAGAUCCAGUCUUCAACUUGUGAGAUUCUUUCCUCAGCUUGGCAAAGUGUACAUUUUCACAUAUUUAUCUAACCUAUGGAAUUCUUGUGAGCAUUUUUAUAUUGCAACACAAGUUCUUGAAACAAAAUAGGUCAUUAUUCUAUGUAUUCAGCUUAACUUAAAUAUAAGGAUUUAUAACUGUAAACUAAUCACUCUAUCUGAACAAUUUUAAAACCAUAUAAUUUUGAGCUGUAAUUUAAGAAAACAUGCGUGCUUGCAGUCCUGUCUUCUAAACAAAUACAGGUUCCCUCCCUUAAGUCCUGUCGUGUUUGAGUCUAAAGCCGUAGAUAAAGGUUACUGUCAUCAUUCCUGUGGUAGAGGGUUGAGCUGAUAUUUUUGUGCUCCAGGUCACAGCUCUGUUCACAGCUACUAAAUUUCGCAAGUUGAAAGUAUGUUAAGUGUAGGAGUUUCUGGAUAUUAAAUAUGAUCCAACAUCCUCUGUGAAAAUAGAGUAUGAUAGAUGGAUAAUCAGGAGAUCUAAAUAGAUAGAUGAUAGAUCCAUAGAUAGAUGAUUAAUGGAUGGAUAUAUGGAUGGAUGAAAAGAUAGACAGAUAGAUAGAUAGACAGACAGACAGAUGGAUAAGCUAGGACUAACUGUAGGAGGAGAACCAGGUAUACUUGCAUUUCUGUGAAAGUGACUUGUUUGUUUAUUUUCUCCUGAGAGAUCUUCUAAUUCAUGCACCUGAUCAAGUAUCUCCCUUCUGCUACUGGAAAGCACAGAACCAUAUCUAAUCUCACUUCUAUCAAGUGUAAGCUCAUAGGCUUCAUUUUGGGUGCUGAUUUCACUCCUGGAUGACAUUAUUUUAUUAUUUGUUCACAUCUUAUAUGUGAUUUUUCAUUUUAUUUAGCCUGGUGUUUAUGUUUGUAAACUGUAAUUUUAAAAAAGGGAGAGGUAUUGGGAGGAGAAAGCAGAAAUGCUGGAAAAUGAAGGGAGGCCACCACCAGUCAGACACAGGACUUCUUCAGGCCCCCGUCCUUCUUUCCCAAGGCGUCUGUUUUCUAAAUGAGGAAACCAAGGCACGCAGAGGAUGACGAGCUGCCCAAGGGCAUGCAGCCUAAGAAAUCUUGAAUCUGGAUUUCGCCCAGGCUGGCUGACACUUACAGUCACGAUCAGGUUGUGGUCACCAUGGCUUCGUCUCUCCCCAGACAUCAGGGUCAUCUCAGGACCCCACUCAGGCAGCUGCCUCAUUCUCAGUAUCAUCUCCUGCCAUUACCUUUGUACCUGUUGGCUGUGGUGAGACAUGCUGGGCCCACUCACCGUUUCUGGACUUCCUUACCUUCGUUCAGUCACUUCCUCUCUGCAAAUGCUCUUCCUUUGACAAACUUUUUCAUCCUCCAAACCCCAGCUGAAGAACUGCCUUCUCAAGUCUUCUCUGGGACUUGGUAGGUUUUCUUGUCUUUGCUGAGUCAGUGAAUGGGAGGAUAGAUGUUUUCAACAGGAGGCUGCCUGCUGUGUGCUGGGAACAGCCUCUCCCAGGCUGCAAAGCUCUAAAGAUGCACUGAAGGCAAAGUGCUCAGCUCCCAGGGCACCUGGGAAGCCGGGGUGUGGUGUCCCUUGGGGUGUAUGAGAAGCUGCAUUCACAUGUCAGGAGACCUUUCACUGUCAGCAACUAGCAGGUCCCGGGUGUUGAAGUUUGCAAGGAGACAGGGUCCAGUGGACUUGUAUUUCCCUGUGUCUCAGAGGCAUUUGCUCCCUGUUUGGCCGGCAUAGCAGGGGCCCACCCUGGAAUGGCUGCAGGAGCUGGCUCUUGUGCUGCAACUUCAUCUGCUCUGCUGCUUCAGCCGUAUGCCAUUUUUCAUGGCAAAAAAGUCCCAUUUCCCCUCUAGCUACAGAACUGCUGGGCUUAGGGGUAGAUCCCCCGGUUGUGAUAAUUCUCUGCCCCAGAGGCCUGAACAGGCACAGGCUUCCCCAUCCUUUCUGCUGCUCAGUUUCUGCUGAAGAUGAGCUCAGACCCUCCCCUCCAAUGCCGCCGAGGGCUGAACAGAAUCUCCUCAGCUCUCCUAGAUAGUAAAGUUCAGGUCUCACUUGCUAGAAAGCAGGGGAGGUGGGUGGGAGGCACAGGUGGGACCCCCCUACUCUGCACAAUACAGCACUAAGCACAGACCCCGCUGACCACUGGAGCUGGCGGCAGUGUUUGCCAUUGGAGGAAUAAUGGUAGACGGCAGGCUGGGUGAGAAAUGGAUAUGCAGUUGUCAACUCUGCAGAGCACAUGCACUGAAACAGUCUUAAUAGGACAUCGGAAUAGUUAUGGAGAUCCAUGAAGAUAGGAUGGCAGCUACUCUGCAGGUGAGUUGUUGAGGUGAGAAGAGGUGGAGGGGCCCAGGGUCAAACACAAGUCAGGGAGAGUCGGAGCCUGCUCCUGGGAGUGACAAGAUACCUGUGCCUUCACCCUCAGGACACGUUUGCAGGCAUGUCCCCAUCUUUCCAGAGAAGGCAAUGGUGAGAGAGAAGAAUGACCUUUUCUGGGAUAGGGGCUGAGGAGCCCUAGCCUCUUCUCCCCAGGCAGAAUGCAUGACUACCAAGGAUUCUGCCAGUAGGCGCCACAACAGAGACUUCCAGGCCAGUUUCUUUCCCACUUGGCAGGGAACCACCCAGAAUGGAAAAAGAAUUCAAACUUCAAUUUAGAGUGUUGUGACUAGCAUUUUACAGAUGAAAGCACAAUGAAAAAGUCCUAGCAAACUGAGUAGCCCCUUUGCCUAUGUUUGUAGGGAAAAACACUAAUAUUUACUAAAUCCUUUCAAACAUAAGACUGUGGUGUUUGUCUUCAGUGGCUUCAUUUACAUAUUCAUUAAUUGGGAUUUCUUUUCACAGAACUGAGAUUAUUUAUUAUCCAAGUGAAUAAAUAUCACAGCUCAAAGCAUUUAAUCACAUGGUAAUUGCAUCCGGCUGACUGAUGGUUGUUUUCUUUGUGUAUACCCAAUGCUGUGCUUGGGGCAGGCGUUAUGUUUAGGAAGCCUCUUUAUUGUUUGAAUUGAAGGACAUGGAAAGCAGGGAAAAGAGCAGAGGUGUGGGGCGAGUCAUGCCUGGGAUCCAUGAGCUCCUGCCUUUGGGAAUGCCGACACACCGGAGAACUUUUCUGGGCCUCACAUCACACGUAAUAUGUCAGUAAUCUCAGUCUCAGAGGGUUGUUGUAAGAGCUGCCUAAGGAUGCAUACAGAAUGUCAGGGUCGGGCCCAGUGGCUCACGCCUGUAAUCCCAGCACUUUGGGAGGCUGAGGUGGGUGGAUCACCUGAGGUCAGGAGUUCCAGAGCAGCCUGGCCAAUAUGGUGAAACCCCAUCUCUUUUAAAAAUACAAAAAUUAGCUGGGUGUGGUGGUGGGUGCCUGUAGUCCCAGCUACUCAGGAGGCUGAGGCAGGAGAAUCACUUGAAUCUGGGAGGCAGAGGUUGCUGUGAGCUGGUAUCAUACCACAGCACUCCAGCCUGGGCAACAGAGUGAGAGUCCGUCUCAAAAAAAAAAAAAAAAAAAAAGUCAGUAGCUACCCUGCAAAUGAGGAUGCUUGGCUUUUCUAACUAGGGUAGGAUUCCGCAUGUGCAGGUUGUGGGCUCAGUGUGAUCGUGGUCUAGCUCUGUUAUUCCCAACACCGCUUUUGUGGAGCAGGGUCCAGUCAUGAUUCCCUUUUACAGAGACGGGGACUGACUUUCCUAAGAUCCCACAACCAGCUUUGGGCUGAGCUGGGAGUUGAACCUGGCAAUGUGGACCCAGAGUCUGAGCUCUUUGUCUCUCCAGGAUCACAUGCAAAUAAGAGGUCUGGGCAAGUGUGAGGCUGUUCCCUGCAGCCUGCCCAAGAGGACACAGUAGGAGGCAGGGCCAGAGAACGAGGGUGGACCCAAGUCUCUGGGCACCAGGGAAAGAGGGUCCCAGAGGGGUAGAGGAAAGUGAGGAGAGGGCAGCAGAGGUGAGGGAGAGAAGGCAGGGCCUUCUCAGGGUCCCCCAAGACCCCACUGAAGGAGCUUCUGGGAUCUCCUUGUGCUCUGUGAAGAGGCCCCUCCUUCCAAAUCCCUGCUCAUCAGCACUGACUGCUUGGCCAACGCUGGAUCCAGGGUGUCCAGUUGGAAGCUAUUUCAAGAGUUGUCCUUGAUACGUUAGAGACGAGGUCUGGAAACUUCCAGAAGAGGCAAAGGCCUUACCCAACAUGACAGGUUCUGAGAUAUUUUCUUUGGCAUACAGUACUUAGUAGUUGAUCCAAACUUAUCAUCAUUCAUUCCUAACAAUUCCAAAAAGUGCACCAAGUAUAGAGAUGACAUUGAACCUGGGCAGCCAGAGGGCUCUAUGAAAAAGCUAUUUCCAUAGAAAUAGGCUCUUUACCGUAGAAACUGCAUGAGGUCACUUGGAACAGAAAUAGAACUGUUUUCACCUUAUUUGUUCCAGAAUAAAGUGUCUUUUAGGCAUUUCUGUCGAUUUUUAGAUGAAUAAAAAAAGCUGUGCUGUUAUGUAUAAAGAUAAAAAGCAUAGACAGUCCUCACUAUGCUUAUGUACCUUACUGGUCUUCCCAAAGAAAAUUGUUAAUCAUUUUUUUUUUUUGCAGAUGAAGUAUAACUGAUUAAAUAUCAAGGAAAAAUAAGAUUCAUGAUUUACAGCCUGAAAAACAAUAUAUUUGGUGAAAAGAAAAUCUAUAAACCUAUAAGCCAAAUAAUUUGUUUCACAUGAUUAUGGAUAUCUUGUCUGUGUCUUUUCCCAAGGAUAUUUCAUUUUUUCGUAAAGAAUUGGAGAGAAAAACUAUUUUAACAAUAUGUUUAUCAUAAAAGUAAUCACUAUUCCUUUAAGGAAGACUGGAAGAAUAGAGUAUAAAAGAUAAAUUAAGGGCCAGGCGCAGUGGCUCAUACCUGGGAGGCCGAGACGGGCGGAUCACCUGAGGUUGGUAGUUCAAGACCAGCCUGACCAACAUGGAGAAACCCCAUCUCUACUAAAAAAUACAAAAUUAGCUGGGUGUAGUGGCAUUUGCCUGUAAUCCCAGCUAUUCAGGAGGCUGAGGCAGGAGAAUCACUUGAACCCCGGAGGUGGAGGUUGCAGUGAGCUGAGAUUGCAUCACUGCUCUCCAGCCUGGGUGACAGAGUGAGACUCUGUCUCAAAAAAAAAAAAAAAAAAGAAAGAAAAGACAAAUUAAAAACCAGCCCAAACUCUACAAUGUAUUGUUGACUCCAGGUGUGAUUUUGAUGUCUCUCCUUCUACUCUUCAUUCUAUGUUUCUAACAAAGUGUAACAAUGUAGCUAAUAUUUUGCUUUUUUUCUUAAGUUUAUAUUCUCAAUAUUGAUAUUCUCUUCUGUUUUUAAGCAAAAUUAUAAUUGUAUGCGAAACAAAAUUAAAAUACUAUUAUAUUGAAAUAAUUUGUAAAUUUUGUGCUUUUCUCCACAUAACAUUAACAUAUAUAUUCAUUUCCAUGUCAUCGAAUUGGCUGUAACCCAUCACUUCCAUCAUUAAUAUUUGGUGUAAAAUCUUCAAGUGUCUGUCCAUACAUGGAUGUACCAGUUGACUCUUGAACAUCACAGGGGUUAGGGGUGCUGAUCCUGUGCAGUUGAACAUUUGAGUAUAACUUUUGACCCCCCAAAAAGCCUAAUUACUAAUAGUCUGUUGCUAACUAGAAUUCUUACCAAUAACAUACAAGGUCAAUUAACACAUAUUUUGUAUGUUUUAUAUAUUAUACAGUGUAUUCUUAAAGUAAGCUAGAGAAAAGAAAAUGUGAUUAAGACAAUCAUAAGGAAGAGAAAAUACACUUACAAUUUAUUAAGUGGAAGUGGAUCAUCCUAAAGGUCUUCAUUCUCAUCGUCUGCAUGUAGAGUAGGCUGGGGAGGAGGAGAUGGAGGAGGGGUAGUUCUUGCUUUCUCAGGGGUGGCAGAGACAGAAGAAAAUCCAUGCAUGAACCUACCUGCACAGUUCAAACCCAUGUUGUUCAAGGGUCAGCUGCACAGGGAAAUGCAUUGCUAUUUUACUUAAUGUUGGAGGGGAACUGUUUCCUCAACUGACUCCCCAUCAGCACAAUUCCUGUAACGUUUGCAUGAAAUCCCAUUACUGGGACUUCUUCCAGUUUUUCGCUGUUUUAACAGUGAGGUGGUGACCAGUUUCGUCUCCAUGACUGACUACCUUUAGAAUAAUUUUCUAGAAGCCUUUCAGCUGGGCCAGAGGACAUGUGGCCAUAUUGCUCUCUAAAAGGCUUAAACCAAAUUGCCUUCUCCCAGUUAGAGAAUAGUGAAGUCCACUUCUCUGUUUUGCCAACCAAAAGAUUCAUUCAUCUUUUUUCAUUUUUUACCUAGUAUUUUAGAAAUGAUUAUCUUAAUUGCUUUAAAUUUCAAUUCUUUGAUAAAUGAAACAUUUUUCAUGUGUUUAUUUUCCCUUGUAUUUUACCUUUGUCAU